AUGAGUUCCUGCCUAUCCCAUAUGAUUAGAGAUCAUUCCCUGGACUUUGUUUGCCUGCAAGAGACCCAUAAGAAAAACUUUCUGGAGAGCUACUUCAGGAAGAUAGAUCCUCAUAAUGCUUUUGACUGGGACUGGAUCCCAGCUAUUGGGAAAUCAGGAGGCAUCCUCUGUGGAGUGAAAAAAGAGAAGUUCAAAGUUAUCUCCUAGAGAAAAGGGAAAUUUAUUCUACAAGUUUGUUUCCUUGAUGUCGACAUUCAGAAAGUCUGGACCUUAUGUAUAGUUUAUGGUCCUGCACAUGAUUGUGACAAAAAUGAUUUUGUAGUGGAGCUGGCAGAGUUUUGUAGCCACACUCAAACACCUUUCCUUAUUGGGGGGGGGGACUUUAAUAUCCUCAGACAUAGUGGGGAGAAGAACAAGAAUUGGUACCACUCCAUUUAUACUGAUUUGUUUAACUCAGUUAUAAAUUCUAUGUGCCUGAACGAGAUCCAUAUGUGUGGGGGGAUGUACACGUGGACUAAUAACCAAGCUCACCCGACCCUAGAAAAAUUAGACCGUGUGUUGAUGAGUAAUGAUUGGGAGGAUCUGUUCCCUCUUGUUAAUGUUAGAAAGUUGGUCAGGGAUAUGUCAGACCAUAAUGCUCUCUUGGUGUCCUCGGACAAUCAUGUUGUACGAGUUCCGCACACAAGAGAGUUCAGAUUCGAGUUAAGUUGGCUCAAGUCUAAAGAGUUCCUUCCUCUGGUUGAAAAGAUUUGGACUAAG
rnacentral:rRNA from 1 species